CCGUGGGUCCCACACCACUUGUGUUCAUUGAAAACUGAUUUAGACCCAAUCCAAUGAAUCACACGCGCCACAUGCCCUUAUAAAUACUAACCCAACUUCUUCACCCUUUUCACUUUUCUCUUUUCUCUUCAAUUUUAUUCCAAAACUCGAACAGUACUCAAACGGAACAACCUCGAAAUUCCGAUUUUGCCCUCGCCGUAACCGCAAAAUUCAUCGCCGACGGCGGAACAUGAUCGUGAGGAUAACGACGAUUAAUCAAAAAUUAAAAAGAGUAUGGUGCGUUGUUUCAGCUUAGGUUCCGUUUUGAUUCUGAUUGCGAUUGCGGCGUCGAUGGUUGUUCUUCCGUUGAUGCUUCCGCCGCUUCCUCCGCCGCCUUUGGUGCUUCUUUUCUUUCCCGUCGGGAUUAUGGCGGCGCUCGUGUUUCUCGCGUUCUCGCCUUCGGAAAACGUUGGAAACGGCGUCGUUUACUCAACUUAGGGAAUCGAGAAGUUUCGGUUGUGGAUCUGUGCUACAUUUUGAGUUUCUUCGAUGUUCCGAUCGGUUUCAGUUUUCUUUUUUUUUUUUUUCAAUUUUUUUCUAAUUUAAAUUUAAAAUUUAGGUACGUUGUUGAUAUGAAAGGAAAUUGUAAAAUGAUAAAUAAAAAGGAAAAUAGAAAGGAAAGAUUCAUUGUAUUUGGCGGCAUAGAAGAUUAUUGUUACACUAUUUUUGUAUUUGUGAUUUAGGAUUAGACGUUUACUUUUUGAGAAUUAAUUCAGAAUUAUUUUUGACUAAUUUUUCUGAUUUUUAUAUUCCUGCUAGGCUGCUACUGCCGACCCGGUGCCAUACAAUAUAUUAAUAAAGAGACAUAUUUUAAGUAUACUUGUAAAACAAGUCUAAAUUACACUUUUAUCUGUUUUAUAAUUUUGAAAUCUAUUACUCUUUCUCAAUAUAGUAUUGGUCUUUAAAUUUUAUGUUUUAAUCAAAUUUUAAUUAUUAUAUUUUUUUUUAAAUGUAAUUUUAAUUUCUCUAUUUUACUUAACAAUGAAAUGAAUUGAAUUGAAUUCCCUUUUACUAAAGAAAAAAAAUGAAGGUACCAAAAUCAUAAAUUAAGUAAACAACCCUAUUGACUUGCCUACAUACAAAAGACACUCGUCAACUCGAUGGCAAAUUUAGAUUGCAUAAUGCAAGGAUUAGUGUGGGGAUUUGUCUCAAAAUCUACUAUUUUGAAAAAUCCAAAUUGUGUGAUAACUAGAGGGCAAUAGGGUGGGUGCAAGGAUUACUCUCCAUUACUCUCCUGUUAUUUUAUUCUCCGACUCGAAGAGUUUUUAAAUCUCUUCUUGUUCUAGUAGAUUUUCACAGUCGGAUCUCAUUAACAUAAAAAGAAUAAAUAAAAUCUUAUUAUUUUCAAUCAAAUUUAGAGUAAAUAAGUUGAAAUUCAACCAUAAAAUAAAAUGUAAUAUUAAGACAUUAUUGUGAAUUUUAAAAAUGAAAAUAAUUUAUACACAUAUGGUAUGAAAAGAUGAAUAAAUAUAACAUAAAAUAUUUGUAUAUAUAUUAGUAUUUAGGUAAUUUGUUUGGAGACGGGUUUUCCACAAGGGCGGUAGAUAUAAUUCCCGUUUCAAUCUCCACACUACCCUUGGAAAGAUGUCAUCCCUCAUCCCUAUUGGAAAAAAUUAUCUGCCUAUGGGGAAGUACCCUACAAGAAUCUCUACUUACAGAUGCAGGUUGAUAUCCCUAAAGAAGGCAUAUGCUUCACCUUCAACUACUUGAAAGUGAGAACUUGUCCAAGAAGUGUAGCCAAAGAAAAAAGCUCUUGAGUUAUUGCGAAAGCAGAUUCCAAAAUCAAUCUUAUAUAGGCCCAUGAACGUAACAAAGUCUAAAUUACAUUUGAUUACACUAGGAGCCGACUUGGUCCAAUUGAUGAUGAAGUUAUGAUCAACCUAGGACUAAAAGUCAAUGGUAGAACGCGAUAAGUGGAUCUACAUGUAUUGUUGAAUUGCAAGUGACAACUCAUAGACAUAAGAGAUAUCUACCAAAUUUUAAUAAUAAUAUGUUUGUCUUUUAAGUAAAAGUGAUUAGAAUUUAGAAUUUAUGUUCUUUUACUUUUUAUGUCAUUUAUUUUCUCUUUUAGAAAAAUUGAUGCUUGAUGUGUGAUUUUGUAGGUGAAAGAUUUGAAGAAGUGUUCCAAAAUUAAAAUGCUACAAGAAGUUGUUAUAGCAAGAUGCCCAUACUUGUGAGCAACAAAGCAAGCAGAUUGUGUGGGUCCCAAAUACAUCCAACAUUUAUUCAAAGGUUCUAAGAUACUCCUAGUAUUAGGAGGUUCUAAAAGGAAGAACAAUUGGACUACUUUUGCUUUAUUAGGUCAAAAAGAUACAUUGUGAGCUAAAAGACAAAACUAGAGGUACAAGGAUGAGAGAGAAAGCCAAUUGUGUUAUAAAAAGGAGACAAGCACUAAAUGAAGGGCAAAGUGGAUCAGACCUAAAAAUGAGAAUCCUAACCUUCAUUUCUAUUUUGCUACCAUCAUCCAUCAUUGAAGCUUUUGUAUGAAGGAUUUUUGCUCAAAGAAGGAAACUUGCAACAAAGUUGAAGGAGGGGUUGUCAUAGUUGCUGCAUAAAAAUU
rnacentral:lncRNA from 1 species